ensembl:lncRNA
UUGAGUGCCUUGUUGCACGUGUUUUAAAUGAGGCCUAACAGGGGACGACUAAACGACUGACUUUACUAACGCUGCGGACCGCUACAACAACAACAACAACAACAACAACAACAACAACAACCUGUCUGGACACUGGGAAGGGUGUGCUCUUGAAACUGGACGCAAAAUGGAAGAACACCUGCAACUAUUGUGAAAGUUCAACGUUUGGGCAAAAUUGGAAUUGGUGAAAGCAAACAAGCGCAAGUUAAAUGGUAAGUAGCCUAUACCAAUUGGCGAAUGCAACUAUUUUCGCCAAUUGCUUUUUUGUUUCACAGCACCACUGGACUACAGAACAUCCCUAGUGGAAAUGACAUCGGUGCAAAUCUGGAGUUUACAAUUUGAUGUCACAGCACCUUCUGCCGAUGCUCCACCUCCCUCAGGAAUCCACAAAGAACUGGAAGUUCUGGGAAAAACCCAGAACGGAUGUCUGGCAAACCGAAAUUAGGCGUUUGUCAAAUUCAGGACUGGCGCUGGAAGCUGUAGGGGGAGGGAAGACCAGGAAUGGUGCAGCUGCUGAAGGGUAAGACAAUGGAA